rnacentral:rRNA from 1 species
UUGAACGCUGGCGGCAGGCCUAACACAUGCAAGUCGAGCGGUAACACAGAGAGCUUGCUCUCGGGUGACGAGCGGCGGACGGGUGAGUAAUGUCUGGGAAACUGCCUGAUGGAGGGGGAUAACUACUGGAAACGGUAGCUAAUACCGCAUAACGUCGCAAGACCAAAGUGGGGGACCUUCGGGCCUCAUGCCAUCAGAUGUGCCCAGAUGGGAUUAGCUAGUAGGUGGGGUAACGGCUCACCUAGGCGACGAUCCCUAGCUGGUCUGAGAGGAUGACCAGCCACACUGGAACUGAGACACGGUCCAGACUCCUACGGGAGGCAGCAGUGGGGAAUAUUGCACAAUGGGCGCAAGCCUGAUGCAGCCAUGCCGCGUGUGUGAAGAAGGCCUUCGGGUUGUAAAGCACUUUCAGCGGGGAGGAAGGCGGUGAGGUUAAUAACCUCAUCGAUUGACGUUACCCGCAGAAGAAGCACCGGCUAACUCCGUGCCAGCAGCCGCGGUAAUACGGAGGGUGCAAGCGUUAAUCGGAAUUACUGGGCGUAAAGCGCACGCAGGCGGUCUGUCAAGUCGGAUGUGAAAUCCCCGGGCUCAACCUGGGAACUGCAUUCGAAACUGGCAGGCUAGAGUCUUGUAGAGGGGGGUAGAAUUCCAGGUGUAGCGGUGAAAUGCGUAGAGAUCUGGAGGAAUACCGGUGGCGAAGGCGGCCCCCUGGACAAAGACUGACGCUCAGGUGCGAAAGCGUGGGGAGCAAACAGGAUUAGAUGCCCUGGUAGUCCACGCCGUAAACGAUGUCGAUUUGGAGGUUGUGCCCUUGAGGCGUGGCUUCCGGAGCUAACGCGUUAAAUCGACCGCCUGGGGAGUACGGCCGCAAGGUUAAAACUCAAAUGAAUUGACGGGGGCCCGCACAAGCGGUGGAGCAUGUGGUUUAAUUCGAUGCAACGCGAAGAACCUUACCUGGUCUUGACAUCCACAGAACUUUCCAGAGAUGGAUUGGUGCCUUCGGGAACUGUGAGACAGGUGCUGCAUGGCUGUCGUCAGCUCGUGUUGUGAAAUGUUGGGUUAAGUCCCGCAACGAGCGCAACCCUUAUCCUUUGUUGCCAGCGGUUCGGCCGGGAACUCAAAGGAGACUGCCAGUGAUAAACUGGAGGAAGGUGGGGAUGACGUCAAGUCAUCAUGGCCCUUACGACCAGGGCUACACACGUGCUACAAUGGCAUAUACAAAGAGAAGCGACCUCGCGAGAGCAAGCGGACCUCAUAAAGUAUGUCGUAGUCCGGAUUGGAGUCUGCAACUCGACUCCAUGAAGUCGGAAUCGCUAGUAAUCGUAGAUCAGAAUGCUACGGUGAAUACGUUCCCGGGCCUUGUACACACCGCCCGUCACACCAUGGGAGUGGGUUGCAAAAGAAGUAGGUAGCUUAACCUUCGGGAGGGCGCUUACCACUUUGUGAUUCAUGACUGGGGUG